UGACAACAAGUUAUUUCCAAACAAAGAGGCUGCAGCAGGUUCAGGGGACCUUGACCCUUCCAUGGUGUUGGACCCUGGAGACAUCACUGAUCCAGGAUCUGAUUAUGAAGACCAGAUGGAGAACCAAGGCCCAGACAUGUUCAGUAAUAUACCAGGGAUUCAGCACAGAAAGAAUUAUAAUUACCCAGGUAUGGUGGUGCACUCCUGUAAUUCCAGCACUUGGGUGGCUGAAGCAGGAGGAUCACCUCAAGUUCAAGGCCAGCCAAGGCUGCAUAGUGAGUUCAAGACCAGCUUGAACUACAUAGCAAGACCAUGUCUCAAAAAAACAAAAGAAAGAAUUAUACUGUGUAAGGGGCUACCCACAGGGACUCUUGCCCUGCAACACAAUGCCUG
ensembl:lncRNA